UUCCUUCUUAUAGCCAAAAAAAGAAAGGCCAACUUACCAUCAGAUGCUGAAGAAUUUUCUACAUUUAUUAAUUCCAUAAUGAGUGAUGAAAAUAUGUCCAAGACACAAACAGUUUAUGACUCAGACUCUCAAUCAGGUUCUAGUGCUAAAGAAAAGGACCGAGGAGCAAAUUUGUGUGUAAUGGAUCAUUUUAUGAAAAUCUUUUUAUACUGCAGGAGAGCAAUGGUUCUUGCUCAUCGUGGUGGCUAUUGGACUCUGCUUCAGAACUGCUGUCGGGCCUUAUGGAACUUUACUCAGGAACUACAAAUACUUCUUAAACAGGCAGUGGAUCUUGAUAAAACAUUUCCUAUUAGCCAAGAUGGUUUCCUGUGCACCUCUGUUUUACCAUUCUAUUUGGGAGCAGAAUUACUUAUUGACAUGUUAAUACAACUACAAAAUACCAGUUCUAUUAAGCCUAUUGAAGACAAAGGAGAAUUCAGUGUUCCAAGCUGUUAUGGGAAUAUUAAAAAUGACAACGGUGGUUCUAGUCUUACCUUUGAGCAUCCUUUGGAUGAUGUAAAUGUGGUUGAUUUGAAAUGGAUCCACGACUUUGUAUUAAAAUCUCUGGAAGUUUUAUAUCAAGUGGAAAAAUGGGAAACACUUGUAUCUCUUGCCAUUCAGUUCAAUACAGUUUCACAUGAGAGGUAUACAGAACAAGUGACACCACUUCUGGUGUAUGCACAGCGCCAGCUUCUGCUGAGAAUACAGAAGUUCAAGGGCCCAGAUAUUACCCAACAACCUUGUGCAAGGUAUGAGGCUGAAUAUGGAGAGAAGAUAACCUGCCGAAAUUUCAUUGGGAAGCAGCUUAAGAUUAAUUCUUCAACCAUUGAAGAAACAAGCAACUGCACAGAUUUGCUAAAAAUGCUUAUCUCUUCAGAAUACAGCCGAGCCAAAGCACUUGUCUGCGUGCCCGUGGACGUGACAGACACCUUGAGGUGUUUUAGAGAGACACUGGAAAAAUCCAAAUACCAUAACAGAUCAAUCCGACACAGCAGGAAGUUGCUUUCAUUAUUUCUUGCACAGACACAAGAUGUUCUCCAAGCCAGCAAUCAAAGAAGUCUUAAAGUUCAGGCGUUGCAUUCACUUGGAAGUCUUCUCAUCUUUGCAGAAAAGAAAAGGGCUGCUUUUAAGUGUUGGUGUCAAGCUCUUGAUGACAUAUUCAGAAAACCAGAUGUGCUACACACGUGGAAAGAAUUUGGCCCCUCACUCAUCAAUGUCACCAACAGUCAUUCACCUCCGGGUUUCAAAGACUACAGUGAGGAGUUUCUGUCAAGAGUUGGCAUCUGGGGGUGUUUGCAAGGAGCAGUCAUAUCAGCAAAGAUAGCACAAUUUAUUAAGUCAUUGAAUGUUGAAAAGAAAACUGACUGUUGCAUUUUGUCUGCGUUACUCUUUCAGGGUUUGCUUAGAACCACACUUCCACAUCCCAAAGCUGAACGUUGCUAUGCUCAAUAUGAAAUCACUCAGCUUCUCCCAGGCAUUGAACUCUUCUCAGAUAGAUACAGGGCUGACAUUUGCUCUGUAAUUGCAAGUCUGUAUUACAUUAUACGUGAACUGCACUUUGUUAGGCAAAACCUAAUAGUUCUGCCUCUCUUUGCAUUGUAUCAAUAUUUUGUUUCUGGAAUUUGUCAAGACAUAACAAGAAAUCUAGAAGCAAGAAUCCUCAAGAUAGAAGUCCUUAUAGAUUUGAGAUUCUUUUCUGAAGCCUUUUAUGAGAUAUCCCAAAUUUUCUAUGGAAAAAACAUGCCUUGUCCAAUACCUGCAGGCUAUAAAGCCACUGGAAAAAUGAAGAUCUUUCAAUCAUUUGACUCAGGAAAACCUCUUACCAGUAAAGAAAAUAUACAGGCAAUUGAUGAAUUAAGAAAUAAAGGCUUGCCUGCAGUUCUGGUUACAAUUGGCCAACCGCAUCUCUUAAAUAAGUUUAAUUUUGUUAAAGCAUACUUUUUCCUAAGUGUGGCUGCGACAAUAAAUUGUGUCCCAGAAAAUAAAUUUAAGACAGUAAUUACCAACAAGAGCAAACCAAACCUACCAAACUUGAAAGAGAUAUAUUCAAAGGAUGAUGGAAGUUCAUUUUAUAAUCUUACAAAACUUAAAGAUGAGAUCACUCUUAGCAUGCUAAAGUCGAUGUUACUGAUGGAAGCUGAGGACAGGCUAAACUUCCUUCUGUCCGAGGUGGAACAGAAGACCCUGUCUCAGUGCUCCGCUGGCGAGCUGGAGAUUGUGGUGGAGGCCCGGCUUCAGCUGGCUGCAGUUGCUCUGCAGAGGCACCGGGCGGCAUACAGUGCUGCAAUAGUAUUUUCUACACUUACACUUCUCCAGGAUUCAAAACUUUUUAAAAAGAAGGUAGUACAGGAUGACACAGAGAAUCCUGUCUCUCCAGGAACUUCUGCCACUGAAAAUAAAGAUGACAAUGAGUUUUUAGAUCCUAUUUCCCUAAAUGCCCGAGAAUAUUUCAACAUUCAUCUGUGGUUGAGGUGCCGCUUAGCAUUGGUGACUGCGUUUGUUGCACAGAUUCAUGGCAUUGGAAUUGUGAAAGAGGAUGAUAUGACAGAUUGCCUGAGCCUCAUCAAUGAAGUGUGUAUGGAGGCAAAAAGCGCAGGCGACACGGAACUGCAGGCUGAAUUCUUGACGCAAGCUGUAAUUCUUGGCCUACAAGAAAAGCAUUUAAAGGCAGACAUCAUGACAAACCUUCAGGAUAUAAUACAUUUGCUGGAAGGAAAUGAAUUUAUUUCUCCUCAAUCACGGCUAACCCUGGCAAGAAGCCUAGUUUUGCUGGAUGACUUAACCAAAGCUGAGAAAUUCAAGGAAUCUCCCUUUUCAAAAACAGGAAAAUUAAAUUUGUUAACUCGGGCUCAUAGCAUUCUAACUGAACAGAUGCUAGCUUUUGGAGAAACAAUUGAAUUUCGUUCAUCAAACACUAAAUAUGCAAAUCCAUUACAGCCUUUGAAAAAUAUCUAUCUUCCCCAUGUCAUGUUAUUGGCCAAAAUAAAAAUGAGAAUUGGACAUACAGUGGCCAAGCAAGUAUAUUACAAGAAUAAAAGGAAGGACCCCUCGAAGUGGUUACCUGCUCUUCAUCUGUUUGAUGUGGCACUGAAGCUCUGUAGAACAACAGCAGUGGAGGAACAUGAGGUGGAAGCUGAAAUCCUUUUUCAGAAAGGCAAAAUAGAACGUCAAAUACUAAUGGAAGAGAAAUCUCCAAGUUUUCAACUUGAGAGUUUAUAUGAAGCUAUACAACUAAGCCUGAAAAAUGAUCAAAACUCGGGAUUGAUAAGAGACUCCUACCUAGAAAUGGCUCUAUUGUAUUUUCAUCUGAAGAAGCCAAAGAUAAAAAUUUCAGGAUCACCAUUAACACUUAAGCCUCCUCUCAGAAGAAGUAGUUCUGUUAAAGAAACAUCAGCAAAUAAAUUUGAAAUGUACAGUUCAUUAGCCUGGAUUGCAAUAAGAGCUGCUGCACAGGUCAGUGAAGCUGUGCUGGCAAUUAACUUACUUAUUGGAAAGAAGAAUACUAGAAUGCAUAAAGUUAACCAAGUGGCAUUACCAAAUAUCCCAGAAUUUGCUGCUCUGGAUCUUUUGUCUUCGUAUACAGAUUAUUUGCUUGGUAUGUUUGGAUGUCUACAUAUUAUGCAAAAAAACUGAUAUAUGUAAUAUAG
rnacentral:sRNA from 1 species